GGUCAAGCGAACAAGUGCAUGUGGUGGAUGCCUUGGCGAUCACAGGCGAUGAAGGACGCGGUAGCCUGCGAAAAGCUACGGGGAGCUGGCAAACGAGCUUUGAUCCGUAGAUGUCCGAAUGGGGAAACCCACUCCUUUUGGAGUAUCCAUGACUGAAUACAUAGGUCAUGUGAAGCGAACGCGGUGAACUGAAACAUCUAAGUAACCGCAGGAAAAGAAAUCAACCGAGAUUCCCAAAGUAGUGGCGAGCGAAAUGGGAAGAGCCUGUACUCUUUAUUUGUAUUGUUAGCCGAACGCUCUGGAAAGUGCGGCCAUAGCAGGUGAUAGCCCUGUAGGCGAAAACAGUAUGAAAGAACUAGGUGUACGACAAGUAGGGCGGGACACGUGAAAUCCUGUCUGAAGAUGGGGGGACCAUCCUCCAAGGCUAAAUACUCGUGAUCGACCGAUAGUGAACCAGUACCGUGAGGGAAAGGUGAAAAGAACCCCGGGAGGGGAGUGAAAUAGAUCCUGAAACCGCAUGCAUACAAACAGUCGGAGCCUCGUAAGGGGUGACGGCGUACCUUUUGUAUAAUGGGUCAGCGACUUACGUUCAGUAGCAAGCUUAACCGAAUAGGGCAGGCGUAGCGAAAGCGAGUCCGAAUAGGGCGUUCAGUUGCUGGGCGUAGACCCGAAACCAAGUGAUCUAUCCAUGGCCAGGAUGAAGGUGCGGUAACACGUACUGGAGGUCCGAACCCACUAACGUUGAAAAGUUAGGGGAUGAGCUGUGGAUAGGGGUGAAAGGCUAAACAAACUUGGAAAUAGCUGGUUCUCUCCGAAAACUAUUUAGGUAGUGCCUCGUGUCUCACCUUCGGGGGUAGAGCACUGUCAUGGUUGGGGGGUCUAUUGCAGAUUACCCCGCCAUAGCAAACUCCGAAUACCGAAGAGUGCAAUCACGGGAGACAGACAUCGGGUGCUAACGUCCGGUGUCAAGAGGGAAACAACCCAGACCGCCAGCUAAGGUCCCCAAAUAUGGCUAAGUGGGAAACGAAGUGGGAAGGCUAAAACAGUCAGGAGGUUGGCUUAGAAGCAGCCACCCUUUAAAGAAAGCGUAAUAGCUCACUGAUCGAGUCGUCCUGCGCGGAAGAUGUAACGGGGCUAAGCCAUAUACCGAAGCUGCGGAUGCGAGCUAGUCUCGCAUGGUAGGAGAGCGUUCCGUAAGCCUGCGAAGGUGCAUUGUAAAGUGUGCUGGAGGUAUCGGAAGUGCGAAUGCUGACAUGAGUAGCGAUAAAGGGGGUGAAAGGCCCCCUCGCCGUAAGCCCAAGGUUUCCUACGCAACGUUCAUCGGCGUAGGGUGAGUCGGCCCCUAAGGCGAGGCAGAAAUGCGUAGCUGAUGGGAAGCAGGUCAAUAUUCCUGCACCAUUGUUAAAUGCGAUGGGGGACGGAUCGCGGAAGGUUGUCCGGGUGUUGGAAGUCCCGGUCGCUGCAUUGGAGAAGGCGCUUAGGCAAAUCCGGGCGCGGAAUUCAAGGGUGUGGCGCGAGCUUCUUCGGAAGCGAAGCAAUCGGAAGUGGUUCCAAGAAAAGCCUCUAAGCUUCAGUUUAACAGUGACCGUACCGCAAACCGACACAGGUGGGCGAGAUGAGUAUUCUAAGGCGCUUGAGAGAACUCGGGAGAAGGAACUCGGCAAAUUGGUACCGUAACUUCGGGAUAAGGUACGCCCCUGUAGCUUGACUGGCCUGCGCCAGAAGGGUGAAGGGGUUGCAAUAAACUGGUGGCUGCGACUGUUUAAUAAAAACACAGCACUCUGCAAACACGAAAGUGGACGUAUAGGGUGUGACGCCUGCCCGGUGCCGGAAGAUUAAAUGAUGGGGUGCAAGCUCUUGAUUGAAGUCCCGGUAAACGGCGGCCGUAACUAUAACGGUCCUAAGGUAGCGAAAUUCCUUGUCGGGUAAGUUCCGACCUGCACGAAUGGCGUAACGAUGGCCACACUGUCUCCUCCCGAGACUCAGCGAAGUUGAAGUGUUUGUGAUGAUGCAAUCUCCCCGCGGCUAGACGGAAAGACCCCAUGAACCUUUACUGUAGCUUUGCAUUGGACUUUGAACCGAUCUGUGUAGGAUAGGUGGGAGGCUAUGAAACCGGAACGCUAGUUUCGGUGGAGCCGUCCUUGAAAUACCACCCUGGUUUGUUUGAGGUUCUAACCUUGGCCCGUGAUCCGGGUCGGGGACAGUGCAUGGUAGGCAGUUUGACUGGGGCGGUCUCCUCCCAAAGUGUAACGGAGGAGUACGAAGGUACGCUAGGUACGGUCGGAAAUCGUGCUGAUAGUGCAAUGGCAUAAGCGUGCUUAACUGCGAGACCGACAAGUCGAGCAGGUGCGAAAGCAGGUCAUAGUGAUCCGGUGGUUCUGUAUGGAAGGGCCAUCGCUCAACGGAUAAAAGGUACUCUGGGGAUAACAGGCUGAUACCGCCCAAGAGUUCAUAUCGACGGCGGUGUUUGGCACCUCGAUGUCGGCUCAUCUCAUCCUGGGGCUGUAGCCGGUCCCAAGGGUAUGGCUGUUCGCCAUUUAAAGAGGUACGUGAGCUGGGUUUAAAACGUCGUGAGACAGUUUGGUCCCUAUCUGCCGUGGGCGUUGGAUAUUUGAAGGGGGCUGCUCCUAGUACGAGAGGACCGGAGUGGACGAACCUCUGGUGUACCGGUUGUCACGCCAGUGGCAUCGCCGGGUAGCUAUGUUCGGAAGAGAUAACCGCUGAAAGCAUCUAAGCGGGAAACUCGCCUUAAGAUGAGAUAUCCCCGGGGACUUGAUCCCCUUGAAGGGUCGUUCGAGACCAGGACGUUGAUAGGUCAGGUGUGUAAGCGCAGUAAUGCGUUCAGCUAACUGAUACUAAUUGCCCGUAAGGCUUGAUCCU
rnacentral:rRNA from 1 species